UUAUGCCUUAUUCAGCGAAGAAGUUCCAGAAAAUUGGCGUUUCUGUCUCUAAAAACAACUUCUUUUGCUGGGUAAUAUUUUUGUUAAACUUAUGUUCAAGUGGAGAGCAGGUUUCAAGAUCAAUGAUAUUGUGGAAUGCAUUGCUGAAAUUUGAGUUGGACGGAGAGAGUUAUCAUAAAUUUUGAGCAGGUAGAUUGGUGGAAUUAUCAGAGUAGCAAUCAAGCUAAGAUCUAUAUUGAUCAAGCUGAGAUGCAGUCAGAGACCGUGGAAGGAGAAGAUUGUACCGUUUUGGAUCUCAAGAAAGAUAGUGCUAGCGUUAUAGAAAAAUUAUGUGCAAUGGUGUUCUGAAAUUUAAAUGUACAAUUAUUUAUAACUUGAAUUCUAUUUUGGAAUCAAUUUUUUUUGUUUAUUCUUAGCUACAUUGGAAAAAAUAUUGUGACUCACUUGUGGAAAAUUCAUGACUUUGUAACAAUAUAAUCUCUUAGUUUGUAGCUA